AGUGAACGCUGGCGGCGUGCCUAAUACAUGCAAGUCGAACGGAGUGGCGCACGGGAGAGUAAUAUAUAGCUAAUCUGCCACUUGAUGGAGGACAACAGUUAGCAAUGACUUCUAAUACUCCAUAGCAAGGGAUGAGACUAUUUCGUAUCAGCUAGUCGGUGGGGUAACGGCCUACCGAGGCGAGGACGCGUAACUGGUCUGAGAGGAUGAUCAGUCAGGUGGGAACGCAGACACGGUCCAAACUCCUACGGGAGGCAGCAGGAGGGAAUACUGCGGAUUGGGGGAAACCCUGACGCAGCAACGCCGCGUGGAGGAUGACACUUGUCUGAGAGUAAACUCCUUUUGUUAGGGAAGCGGUACCUAGCGAAUAAGCACCGGCUAACUCCGGGCCAGCAGCCGCGGUAAUAC
rnacentral:rRNA from 1 species